AGCGUUAAAUGUAGUCGUCUGAAUCUGUUGCUUCACUUGUCUCAUGCGAAGGUCACACGGGAUGUUGUUUCUCGACGCGAGUGUGCAUCGGGCAAGCUGCGCCAAACAUUAAAUGUGUAAUCGUGAUAUGUAACAUGAUAUGUCAUGCCCGAACAGUUACUAAAUCGAGGGUUAUAUACUUUUGAGCCUCACAAGAUCCUUGAGAUUGAAAAUCGUAUAAAAUGUUCGAGUAUCCAUGAUGUCAUGUGUUAAAAAAUCGAUCAAGACCAUAACGAGGACGACGACGAAGACGAGAGCGAGAGUGAUGUAUUAUGUUAUGUAGUGUCGCGUCGCGUUUGCGCGCAAUUUACACCGUGCUGCGAUGCAAUGUACGUAUGCUCGUUUCUCCGAAGGCUCGCUGAUCAGAACGAAAGCCGAAGGUCAGAAACAACGCGGAUUAGCUGCGGGAAAUUUGAAUAGUGUUACACUUAAAUUACUAUCGUCCUCGGCAACCCGGAAAUCCGUGCACAGUCGUUUAUGCAGACGUGCAUCGUCGUCGAGAGCGAUUGCGAGUUGCUGCCGAACGACAUUACUCAUGAGACUCGAUGCGUUGGGACAUUUGCGUCACCACCAUCACGGCGCCACGGAACACACGCAUACACACACCACGUCUCUGUCUCCACCCUGCAGGACGGUACAUGACGUACAAUAACAUAACACAAUACAACGAUAACAACGAUGCGGAUCGCAAGUAAUUGUCGAAAAUCAACGUUGUAAUCGCGACACGAUCGUGUUCACCAUUAAAUAUAGAGCGACGCAAAGGCUGGCAUCACCAGUCUUUUAAUCCCACGUCUGUCGCGCCGAUAAUAUCUUCGGAAAAAGCAAACAUGACGACUUGUUAGUCACGCGCAAAGAACCACAGACACCGAUUACCGGCCGACAGAUCGAUACAUACCCGCAUAAAUUAUAUAUUUGUCCGAUGUAAUUUUAUCGGGUGGUGACACGAUUUGACGGGUAACAUUUAUAUUAUAUUAUUUUAGACGCAAUCAGCUUUGUUUGUAUUCUUGCAUUAUUUCAUAGAUAUGAUUGAUAAUAUUAUCCAUUCGCUGACCAUAAUAUCAUCUACUCCGACUUGCUGCCUUCGUGCGCGUUGCGAUACAAACUGAGUGGAAGCAUACUGUCGUGAUCUAACAGUCCGUGCGUGUGAACUUCACAUCAUCAUCCUGCUCUCCCUCUUUACUUCAUUCCAAAAGACGGUUAACGUAUUGUCUCCGAAAUUGUUACAUCUCGAUCUCUUAUGCAAACUGUUGUUUGCAAAAAAUUAAUCGUUUUCCUGGGAUAAUUUCUCAACACAGUGUCGGACAUUGGAUUCGGCACAUCUGCUCUAUUAUUUCGGCGCAAUGAUUCGUGAAACACGAUAAUUUAAGAAAAUAUUGUGAUGUGCAAUGAAUAUACACUGAAAAAAAUAUUUGAAAACUAAAUUGUAGAAUAUAAAGUUUACUCUUUUAAAAUAAAUCAGUGAACAGUCACUGAUAUCAGUUAUUAAGUAUAGCACUGAGCAGUUAUUAAAUAAUAGAUCACUGAGCAGUUAUUAAGUAAUAGAUCACUGAUAUCAGUUAUUAAGUAUAGCACUGAGCAGUUUCAGUGCUACACUUAUAGCUGCAAAUCAGUGUAUACUUUCAGUGAUGUUCCACUGAUUCAUUUUAAGAGAGUAUAUAUAUAUAUAUUUAUUACCAUUCAGCUAUAUACCAUUUUAAGAGAGUAUAUUUCCGUGAAUAAACUAUAUCUCACAAAGCAAUUUUCAAAUAUUUUUCCCUCAGUACAAGAGAGUAAUUCCUGGGAUAUGUGAGACUAAUCUUUAUUGAUGUCGUAGUUGCGCUGUUAUACGUGAUACACACGGUGAAUAAUUAUUAAAUAACUGCUAAAUAAUUAAGGAUGUUAUUGAAUCACCAGAUACCAUUAUCCGCUUUAUAACUUCAUUGUUAGAGCUCGCGUGUCCGGUUAAUUCAGUAGCUGCGGUAAUACAUGUCAAACAGCUUUCAUUCUCGAUAUCUCGUUUCACCGUCGAAAUUCGCGAUCAAAGUGAUCUCUCCCGCGCGCCAAAUGUGCGACAUCGUGCUCGACAAUGCAGAAGAAAGAGAAAAAAAUUACGAGUGAAAUGUGAGAAAAUGUUAUAAUUUCGCGAUUUCAAUUCCGACGAAAGUGUACACGGUGCGUCGACACGCCCGUUCGUACACCUACUCGAGAUAUGCGACAUGAUUCGAGAGUUAAACAUUAUUACGUCAGUAAAUAGAUCGAUACACCGAUAAACACGAUGUGCUCACACGACGAUACAAUCCAACGAGACUGCAAUCGCGCGCAACAACGGCGAAGAACAAUGAAUUGUCCUACGCGACUGAUACCGAUUGUUCAGUGACAAAGGCGAUUGAACAAUUACUCCGGAUCGAUGAAAUCGCAAGACGACGGUCUCGCGCCAUCCGUCCUAUAGAGUGGCUGUACGCGCGCGCGUGUGACGUUCAUUUGUGUAUCGCACGUACCGUGACUUCUAGGUCGUCGCGGGUCGCCCCUAUCGACGGUACCUUGAGGACACUCAAGGACUCGCGGCAAGAACAUUGAACCUCGAGCUCGACCACGCGGGAUAUCGAUUUGCAUCGCGUGCGCGUUACGUCCUCGACUCCCGUAUCUGUCGGGACGCGUCAACUAUUCUCUGUUAAAGUCGAUGUUUGCGAAGCGCGACGAGGCGAGAGGCGAUUGUGUAUAUGUGUAUUUAAUUGUGAUUGUGUGUGUGUGUAUACGCGCGACGUGUCCCUGUAUUUUUGCGAUUUAUCGUUUCAAUACGUGAUUGAAUGACGUUUGGAACCCAAUUCCACAACUUACUUUUUAACUCGUUAAAAGCCUAUCUAGACAAACUUGCAUAAUCGAUUAUUCAUAUGCGCAAGAAAAUUGACUAAUCUAAUAUACAAUCUGCCUAAUACAAGAGGCACCUUUUACGGGUCGUGAUUGAUCGAUUUCCUAAUAUAGACACAAUGUGUGAUUUGACGCAAGUUUAUCUGGAUAGAUCUUUAACGAGUUAAACUUCAGUUAAAGCAAGUUGUGCGGAACCAGGUCUAAUAAUCUGUCGUGGAGCAACAGCGACGUAAGGACGGUGCGUAGACGUCAAUUUGCCGCGUGUUUUAGUGGUCGUACGAUAACGAGGCGACGUGACGCACGACGAUACGCGAUGAUGUGUGACACAGCGGUGAUGCCGCGUCAGGUCGGCGCGCCCAACAUGCCUAUCGCUCCGUGUUAUUAUUUGGACACUGCUUAAACAUACAGCAAAUUGACAUCAACCUGUGCUUCGACGCGCGGCUCGUGGUAACUGAAUCUGAACCUGAAUCUCGACACGCCGCGACACACGAACGGAUACAACCAACUUAAUGGUCGUGCUCGCGGCUGGAUUUGCGGUCUCGUUGUGAGCGACUGCGGCCAGAGAUGCAUACACGUCGUUUAAACGUCACACGCGUUGCGUUCAGUUAUUAAAAGGGAUAAAACGGACCGAAAAGUCGAGCUUUUGUUACGCAAAUUAUUUGCAGAUGUCGCGUCCGCGACGAAAUUAAAAUGAUCUAUCAUUAAUAUCGUCAAUACGUUAUAAUGGUAGCGCUUUCAGCGUACGCAUUGUAUAUUUAAUAUCGCAUAAUACGCACGCCACUGUUUCAUUAGAGAUUGUCCCGAAAUAGACUGAUUGCGGGAAAACGGCACGUUUCAGAGUUGAUUGCCUGUUGGACAAACACAUCAAAUUAUCGUCGUGCUCGGUAUUUUACGGGCAAUUUUCGACUUAUUAUUCGCAUUGUUUACGCUCGCGGUGGAUAAUGUACUCCUUCGAGCAGACGACAAUUUGUUUUGCGUCCACGUCAGCGGUAAGCCAUUGUGUCGCACAUGAAUGAAUACGUGAAACCCGAAUAUCCGAGCUUUGACAAAUUGGCCGACUUUUCUGUGAAAGAAACUGCGCGCAUCCGUGUCAAAAUCGAGAAACAAAGAAUUUUUUUCUGUAAAAAAGAACGUGCCAUCAUUGUUUAUUUUAGGAGAUGCUCGGUGCCGACACAAUGCAUCUUUCGUAUUUUACACUAUUCUUCUUUUUGAUUGUAUAGAAUUACAAAUGUUUAUAUGGAGUGAAACGACUAAUGUCAAUGAAUGGCGGUAACCCAUUAUAUAAAAAAAAGAAAACAAAGAUUAAUCAAAAACCUUGUUAAUUUUUUACAUACCAUGAGCUAUUUCGCCAUUUCUUGACAUUUGCAUUUUAACUCUGUGUAUAAGAAUUUACAAUUCUAUAUAAUCAAAUUCUGCAGAAAAGUGCAGAAAAGUGCAGAAUAUAAAGCUGCAUCAUGUUGACAUUCUUCUAAAAUCUCAAUCAAAUUUCCCCUUCGUGAAGUCUCGAUUUGGUUAUUGAGAUAUUUAUCAAAGACAAUUUAUUAAAAAGUUGUUGAAAUAAAUGCCGCUGGUUUUCUGCGAUACUUUCCUCGAGAGAGAAUCAAGACAGCGCGAGAGUGCGAUAAAGUUCAGGCGCAAAAUCAUUAAAGUUAAAAUUGCGGGUUUCUCUCUCUCGCUCUUUCACUGUUACGGUCAUUCCAUGUAAAAGUUAUCCAAUUGUUGUUCACGACACAUAUCGCCGACUGUAACCAGCCGGAAGAAAAGUUGCACGUUGCUGCACGUGGAGACAGAAUGACGCCUCGCGUCGCGUCGCCGCGCGUCGCAUCUCCGACCUUGAACCCGUUGUCCAUAAGCUUUCUCCUUAGUUACUUCCUAUAUUUCCCACAAGGCCACGGUCACCAACGCUCUCUUUCACUUCGAUCGUCAAUUCAGCGGCGAAUCCAGAGAAACGCGGGAUUAUUCUUCCGGGCCGGCGCGCCGUCGCCGCUAUCCCCUCGCAAUAUGAGAACAAUGCCAAUCCCGUCGCUAUCCAUUUAUUAUAUUUUUCCUUUUGCUCGAUGUAGUGUUGCUGCUGCCGCAGCUCGAUCGUGCGACCGUACGGUUCAACUGGAAUACGUUGCGUAAGCCAACAUUACCCGGCGGACCCGAUGUCCUAGUAAAUAUACUCUCUUUGAUAAAAUCUGCUUCAUAAUUAAUUUACAGAGCUUCGAUCGUUGGUGGCUCUUGCAUGUCGAAGCUCGCCCGCGGCUCGAAACGACUCGAUGUCGCUUUCGUAUUUUCACGUCAAUUUUCAAUUUUCGAUUUACACCGAGAUAAUCCUACCUCUCCCGAUAUUUCCAUUAAUUGCAGAUAACAAUUGCUUGUGCGAUUGGCGUUCUUAGUCUGACAUAUCGUACAUCUAUAUAUCAUGUAAUACAUGAUAUACAUGUAAUUUAGAUUAAUCGGUCGAUUUGGUCGGAAUCAACUUUGGACCACAGGACUACAUUUGUGGGAA